AGUUAACGUUGGCGGCGUGCCUAACACAUGCAAGUCGAACGCGUCCUAAGGGCAACUUUAGGAUGAGUGGCGAACGGGUGAGUAUCACGUGGGUAAUCUUCCUUCAAGUGGGGAAUAAGCUCUCGAAAGGGAGUCUAAUACCGCAUGACAUUCCGGGACACAAGUCCCGUAAUCAAAGCCGCAAGGCGCUUGAAGAUGAGCCUGCGUCCUAUUAGCUAGUUGGUGGGGUAACGGCCUACCAAGGCUUAGAUGGGUAGCCGGCCUGAGAGGGUGAACGGCCACACUGGGACUGAGACACGGCCCAGACUCCUACGGGAGGCAGCAGUGAGGAAUUUUGCGCAAUGGGGGAAACCCUGACGCAGCGACGCCGCGUGGAGGAUGAAGGCCUUCGGGUCGUAAACUCCUGUCAGAGGUGAGAAUACCGCAAGGGUUGACGGUAACCUCAGAGGAAGCCCCGGCUAACUACGUGCCAGCAGCCGCGGUAAUCAUACU
rnacentral:rRNA from 1 species